GACGAACGCUGGCGGCGCGCUUAACACAUGCAAGUCGAACGGAAAGGCCUGCUUUCCCUUGUGGAUUGCGGGUACUCGAGUGGCGAACGGGUGAGUAACACGUGAGUGAUCUGCCCCCAACUUGGGUAUAAGCCUGGGAAACUGGGUCUAAUUCCCGAUAGGACUGCAGGGUGGUGCCUGUGGUUGCAAACGAUUUUCUAGUGGUUGGGGAUGAGCUCGCGGCCUAUCAGCUUGUUGGUGGGGUAAUGGCCUACCAAGGCGGGGACGGGUAGGCGGCCUGGGAGGGUGGACGGGCACAUUGGGACUGAGAUACGGCCCAGACUCCUACGGGAGGCAGCAGGGGGGAAUAUUGCACAAUGGGCGGAAGCCUGAUGCAGCGACGCCGAGUGGGGGAUGACGGCCUUCGGGUGGUAAACUCCUUUCGACCGCGAGGAAGCCACCUGGUUGGAAGGGUGGUGACGGUAGUGGUAGAAGAAGCACCGGCUAACUACGUG
rnacentral:rRNA from 1 species